rnacentral:rRNA from 1 species
GAUGAACGCUAGCUGCAGGCUUAACACAUGCAAGUCGAGCGACCGGCGCGCGGGUGAGUAACACGUAUACAACCUGCCCUUUACUCGGGGAUAGCCUUUAGAAAGAAAGAUUAAUACAUGAUGUAAAGGACGGGGAUGGGUUCACUUAGGUUGUUGGUGAGGUAACGGCUCACCAAGCCUUCGAUGGAUAGGGGUUCUGAGAGGAAGGUCCCCCACAUUGGAACAGAGACACGGGCCAAUAUCUUAGGGGAGGAAGAAGUGAGGAACAUGGUGCAAUGGGCGUUAGCCUGAACCAGCCAAGUAUCGUGAAGGAUUAAGGCUUUUUGGUCGUAAACUUCUUUUAUAUAAGAAUAGGUAUUAGAUGAAUAAGGAUCGGCUAACUCCGUGCCAGCAGCCGCGGUAAUAC